AGCGAACGCUGGCGGCAGGCCUAAUACAUGCAAGUCGAACGAAGCCUUCGGGCUUAGUGGCGGACGGGUGAGUAACACGUGGGAACGUACCCUUUGGUUCGGAACAACUCAGGGAAACUUGAGCUAAUACCGAAUGUGCCCCCAUCCUUAACAAGAUGGGUGGGAAAGAUUUAUCGCCAUUGGAGCGGCCCGCGUCUGAUUAGCUAGUUGGUGAGGUAAGGCCCACCAAGGCUACGAUCAGNGCUGGUCUGAGAGGAUGAUCAGCCACACUGGGACUGAGACACGGCCCAGACUCCUACGGGAGGCAGCAGUAGGGAAUCUUGCGCAAUGGGGACGAAAGCCUGACGC
rnacentral:rRNA from 1 species